rnacentral:lncRNA from 1 species
AUGUUCUAAAAUACUCUGAUGGAUUCACAAAAUAACUCUCUGCAUCUACUCUGAUGCAUUAGGUAGAUUGGUGUUUGUUACAAGGUAUAGUAAAGAAAUUCCAGGCACAGUGUUCUCUUAGGGAAACAAAGAUCUACACUGUUGCUGAGGCAGGUUGUGAGUUCUAAACCAGACCUGGAAUCCUGGUCCUUCUAAAGCUACUAUGAAGUGCAGAAAGAAACUUUCACUCUUAUUUUUGUAGAAUGUAUCCCAGCUGAGGGAAAGAAAACAUUACAAUGUUGGUAGGGUCUGCAAAUACCUAACCAGGCUCAAAAUGUGUUAAGUUUUUUUCAUCUACAAUAGUAUCUGAUGGUGUCAGUCACCUCAAAUUCUUGUGUUUGUGUGCAUAGAUUUAGGAAUCUCUUCAAUGCCUUGGAUCUGAAAGAGAGUGUGUUCUCUGGAGAUUGGGUUAUCCCUGAUUGGAUUGUCCACUCUCUUCCCCUAUUAAAGGAAAAUCAGAGACAGAAGUUAGUGGACUUUCCAGUGAGCCACAGGCUGACUGCAUCUCAAGAGUGGUCAGAGGACAGCUCUUCAAAUUGGGGGAACCUGCAUAGACCAGAUUUCCAAGCUGGCCUUAACUGGAGAGGCAGAGGCAGAAGUCUUUCCAUUGAGGCACCAGCUGUCUGCAUCUCAGGAGUGGUCAGUGGACAGCUCUUAGAACUGGGGGAGCCUGUGUUGACCAGAUUUUCAAGUCAGUCUCUUCUGGUGAGUUUGGAAUCCAUAUUGAUGUCCAUCUAUAUACUUUUGCCUUUUGUACAAUCUUUUAAUUAAGCAAAUAGUAGCUCUUAAAAUGUUCUGUUACUGAAAGUUAUUUCUUUGGUGUUAGUAUUGAGAAAUAUUCAAGGUAUUAUAUAGGUUUGUGUAUGAAGCUUUCUUGGGAUAAUUAGCCAGAUUUAAAAAAAAAAAAAAAAAAAAAAACACAAGAUCACUAUGAAGAAGAAGUAGUAUUUGUCUGAACUCUGAGUUUUUCAUCUAUAAUAGUAUCUGUGUCAAUAGCCUCAAAUUCUUGUGUUUGUGGGCGCAGAUUCAGGAAUGUCUCCAAAACUUGGAUCUGAGAGGGCGUGCCCUCUAGAUUGGGUUGUCCACUGAUUGGGUUGUCCACUGAUUGGGUUGUCCACCUUCUUCCCCCAUAAAAGGAGAGGCAGAGGCAGAAGUCUUUCCAUUGAGGCACCAGCUGUCUGCAUCUCAGGAGUGGUCAGUGGACAGCUCUUAGAACUGGGGGAGCCUGUGUUGACCAGAUUUUCAAGUCAGUCUCUUCUGGUGAGUUUGGAAUCCAUAUUGAUGUCCAUCUAUAUACUUUUGCCUUUUGUACAAUCUUUUUAAUUAAGCAAAUAGUAGCUCUUAAAAUGUUCUGUUACUGAAAGUUAUUUCUUUGGUGUCAGUAUUAAGAAAUAUUCAAGGUUUUGUAUAGGUUUGUGUAUGAAGCUUUCUUGGGAUAAUCAGCCAAAUUUUUUUUUUUUUAAAUCACUAUGAAGUAGAGGUAGUAUUUGCCUGGGAUCUGUUUAAAUAGUUCUCUCUGGAAAAUGUUUUACCCACAAGUUUAUUUUUCUUGGUUUUUAUUUUUCUUUCUUUCUUUUUAAAUUCAGCUCUCUGAUUGCUGUUCCACCCAAGAGUUUCUGAUUCAUCACAUCUGGGAGCAAGGCCUGAGACUCUGCAUUUCUAGUAAGUCCUCAGGUAUUGCUGCUGCUCUAAGGACACACUCUGAGAACCACUGGUCCUCCUGCUCACAGUCUAAGGAUGUUCUCUGAGAACCACUGGUCUAGCUUGUCCCUGGUGGGGUGGAGAAGCUUUCUGAGACUUGACGGGAGGGUCCUUCCUAUAGGCAGAGGCCUAGGAUGACCCCAUAGCAAGAAUGGGUCCAUACUGCCCCAGAUUCUGCCAUACUGGGUUUCAGAUUUCUUUCUCUUCCUGUUAAUAGUGCUUAUAAUGUGGGUUGAGGAGGCAGUGCUCCCAUGAAAGGAAAUCAGAUUGCUUUCUGAACUAGCUGAGCUACAAAAACUAGACUGUCCCAUUGGUAAGCUGGAAGAAGAGAGAAUGUUCCAGGCCAUCUAUCUGAUACAUCAGCACAGAGUCUGCCCUUUGUGGUUUAUUUUCCCCUGUGGUGGCCCUGAGCUGCAAGGAAGAGAGUAGAAACUGGACAUCCAUGGGCCCUGGUGACAAGGAGGGGAGGUGCAAGGACUUGGGUUAAGGAUUAUGAUUGUGACUUGCCUAUAUCACUCGCAGCAAGGUCAAGGUGACUUUUAAAAGUUAUUUUACAGUGUCCUACUUUACUUUUUUCUCAGUUUGAUUUCUCUACCUGAGAUAUCCUCUGAAGCUAUGUCUAACUUUACCUCAUUUCUCUUCCAAAUUAAUCCAUUACCUUUGUGUAUUCUGAUGUUCCUAUAAUUCUUUGUUUAAUGUCUGCUGCUUCCCAGGUGUUGCUAGUGGUAGAGAACCCGCGUGCCAAUGCAGGAGGUGUAAGACACACCAGUUCAAUCCCUAGGUCCAGAAGAUCCCCUGGAGUGGGGCAUGGCAAUCCACUCCAGUAGUCUUGCCCGGAAAAUUUCAUGGACAGAGGAGCUCGGCGGGCUACAGUCCAUAGGGUUGCAAAGAGUUGGACACCACUGAAGCGACUGAGCACGCAGGCGAUGUCUACUGCACUGCAGGCAUACUCUUUACCGUUUGAGCCCCCAGGGAAGCUCAAUUUGUACACCUGUCUAAAAAACCUGGAACCUGCUUUGAUGUUGGGAUAAAAUAAGCUAGUACAUCAUUGGCUCUUGUAUUUCCGGGAAUAUUUAGUAAACAAUAAAGUGUUUUUUAAAAAAUUCAGCUCUCUGAUCCGUAUGUAUCAUCAAGUUAAAUGGCUAUGGCUGGUCGCUCAGUCGUGUUCGACUUUUGCGACCCCAUGGACUGUGGCCCGCCAGGCUCCUCUGUCCAUGGGAUUCUCCAGGCAAGAAUACUGGAGUGGAUUGCCAUUCCCUUCUCCAGAGGAUCUUCCCGACCAAGGGAUCGAACCCGGGUCUCCUGCAUUGCAGACAGAUUCUUUACCGUCUGAGCUACAGGGUUGCCCUUCCCCAAAAUCUUCAUCAAUAGCUGUCAUUUUUUCUUUCUUCUUACUUCUCUUCCUCCAUAUCUCCUCUUUCUUCGUCGCUGUGAUGGCCUUAUUGAUGAUCACAACAUUCUAUUGUACUUCACACUGUAGGAAACAGCCUUUAAUCUAUUAACCCCUUUCUCUCCUGAGG